rnacentral:rRNA from 1 species
UGGGGAAUUUUGGACAAUGGGCGAAAGCCUGAUCCAGCAAUGCCGCGUGUGUGAAGAAGGCCUUCGGGUUGUAAAGCACUUUUGUCCGGAAAGAAAUCCUUGGCUCUAAUACAGUCGGGGGAUGACGGUACCGGAAGAAUAAGCACCGGCUAACUACGUGCCAGCAGCCGCGGUAAUACGUAGGGUGCAAGCGUUAAUCGGAAUUACUGGGCGUAAAGCGUGCGCAGGCGGUUUGCUAAGACCGAUGUGAAAUCCCCGGGCUCAACCUGGGAACUGCAUUGGUGACUGGCAGGCUAGAGUAUGGCAGAGGGGGGUAGAAUUCCACGUGUAGCAGUGAAAUGCGUAGAGAUGUGGAGGAAUACCGAUGGCGAAGGCAGCCCCCUGGGCCAAAUACUGACGCUCAUGCACGAAAGCGUGGGGAGCAAACAGGAUUNGAUACCCUGGUAGUCCACGCCCUAAACGAUGUCAACUAGUUGUUGGGGAUUCAUUUCCUUAGUAACGUAGCUAACGCGUGAAGUUGACCGCCUGGGGAGUACGGUCGCAAGAUUAAAACUCAAAUUGAAUUGACGGGGUCAUAGCUGUUUCU